UGGAUGACAUUGCCUAAUUCCCAAUCGGGAAACGGGGGAACCACUCUGGGUGAAUUGACUUCGACGUCUGGUGUUCUACAGCGCCUGAGAAGUCAUAGGGAACCUUCAACCGAACCCCACAGCUAACCUCGUCGGCACCGGAAGGAGAACCA
rnacentral:sRNA from 2 species